rnacentral:rRNA from 1 species
CCUACGGGGUGCAGCAGUGGGGAAUAUUGGACAAUGGGCGAAAGCCUGAUCCAGCAAUGCCGCGUGUGUGAAGAAGGUCUUCGGAUUGUAAAGCACUUUCGACGGGGACGAUGAUGACGGUACCCGUAGAAGAAGCCCCGGCUAACUUCGUGCCAGCAGCCGCGGUAAUACGAAGGGGGCUAGCGUUGCUCGGAAUGACUGGGCGUAAAGGGCGCGUAGGCGGUUUAUGCAGUCAGAUGAGAAAUCCCCGGGCUUAACCUGGGAACUGCAUUUGAGACGCAUAGACUAGAGGUCGAGAGAGGGUUGUGGAAUUCCCAGUGUAGAGGUGAAAUUCGUAGAUAUUGGGAAGAACACCAGUGGCGAAGGCGGCCCCCUGGACAAAGACUGACGCUCAGAUGCGAAAGCGUGGGGAGCAAACAGGAUUAGAUACCCCCGUAGUC